rnacentral:rRNA from 1 species
AUUAUGGCUCAGGAUGAACGCUAGCUACAGGCUUAACACAUGCAAGUCGAGGGGCAGCAUUGGGAUAGCUGCUAUCCAGAUGGCGACCGGCGCACGGGUGAGUAACGCGUAUCCAACCUUCCCUAUAGUAGAGAAUAGCCCGGCGAAAGUCGGAUUAAUGCUCUAUGUUGUGUUUUGAGGACAUCUGACGAACACCAAAGGUUCACCGCUAUAGGAUGGGGAUGCGUCUGAUUAGCUUGUUGGCGGGUAACGGCCCACCAAGGCGACGAUCAGUAGGGGUUCUGAGAGGAAGGUCCCCCACAUUGGUACUGAGACACGGACCAAACUCCUACGGGAGGCAGCAGUGAGGAAUAUUGGUCAAUGGGCGAGAGCCUGAACCAGCCAAGUAGCGUGCAAGGGACGACUGCCCUAUGGGUUGUAAACUGCUUUUAUCAGGGAAUAAAGUGCGGCACGUGUGCCGUUUUGUAUGUACCUGAUGAAUAAGGACCGGCUAAUUCCGUGCCAGCAGCCGC